AACGAACGCUGGCGGCAGGCUUAACACAUGCAAGUCGAACGAGAUCUUCGGAUCUAGUGGCAGACGGGUGAGGAACACGUGGGAACAUCCCUUUCAGUUCGGAAUAACGUUGGGAAACUAACGCUAAUACCGGAUACGUCCUUCGGGAGAAAGAUUUAUCGCUGAAAGAUUGGCCCGCGUCUGAUUGGCUAGUUGGUGUGGUAGUGGCUCACCAAGGCUACGAUCAGUAGCUGAUCUGAGAGGAUGAUCAGCCACAUUGGGACUGAGACACGGCCCAAACUCCUACGGGAGGCAGCAGUGGGGAAUAUUGGACAAUGGGCGCAAGCCUGAUCCAGCCAUGCCGCGUGAGUGAUGACGGCCUUCGGGUUGUAAAGCUCUUUUGUCCGGGAAGAUAAUGACUGUACCGGAAGAAUAAGCCCCGGCAAACUUCGUGCCAGCCGCCGCGGUAA
rnacentral:rRNA from 1 species